GUGUCAGCAGCCGCGGUAAUACGGAAGGGGCAAGCGUUGUUCGGAAUCAUUGGGCGUAAAGGGCGUGUAGGCGGUUUCAUAUGUCCGCUGUGAAAUAACACGGCUCAACCGUGUAGAGCGGCGGAAACUGUGAGACUUGAGGCUGGGAGGGGCUGGUGGAAUUCCCUGUGUAGCGGUGAAAUGCGUAGAGAUGGGGGAGAACACUCGUGGCGAAGGCGGCCAGCUGGACCAGUUCUGACGCUGAGACGCGAAAGCGUGGGGAGCAAACAGGAUUAGAUACCCCUGUAGUCC
rnacentral:rRNA from 1 species